rnacentral:lncRNA from 1 species
CACAUGAAAAGUCUUACGGAUAGACAAACUUCCAUUCAAGCCAAUGUCAAGUUUUCAUUGCAAGAAAGUAGCAGCCGUGUUUAAGGGCUUGUUUCUGGCUAUGUUAAAGGACCAUCCUCUGAGGAAAGCAGAGGAGAGGAACUCCAUUAUCCUUACAGUGAAACGCAACCACUGCAGAAAAACUCCACUGGUAAAUAGAACACAGUUUAAUAAGUAGAUUGGAUAUGAUCUAACUAUAAAAUUUAGGUAACAGAGUAAGUGUUACAUGUGGCAGGACCGGAAAAAAAUCAUGACAUUUUUCUUAUCCCCUUGUACCCCUCCCACUGUCAUUAUGCUAUUACCAACAACAACAAGAAUAAUGUUUCAAAUUUUCCUCUCAUCAAAAAAUGAGAGAAAAUAACGAGGGAAGUGUUUUUGUUCUUUUUCGAACAGUUUCUUGAACACCUCCAAUACCAAUCACUCACAAGGUGUCUGUGCAAAUCUAUUUCACAGGAUUUCAAGGAAAUUGUUAACUCACAAAAAAAUCCUUAAAUGAAGCUAUUUUGGAGUUCUGUAUAUUAUUUGGAAAGGAGGGAGGAAAAGGGUGGUGGUGGUAAAGUAGAGGUAAAGUAGUACAAUCCAGCCAAACAAAAUGUUAAAAGUUUUAAAUCAACAAUGAGUCUGACUUUUUCUGGUUUGGGAAGCAAGACUCUAAAAUGUUGGGAGAGAUUCUUUCUGAUCUGAUGGCUACUGAAGAACACAUUUCUCCUCUUUCUUGGCCAUCUUGCCUUUGUUUUGCUCCAGAGUUCGCUCCAAAUGCUCAUCUUCUUCUUCGGCCCUGGAUGUCAGACAAACAGGACAAACAGGAAACAAAAUUAUUUUUCUUCGUGGAGGGCAGAGCAGCACUCCCCCGUCGCCCAGUAUUUGGAUCCCCAGCGGGAAUGGGGAGCACCAGGCCAGUGGGAGGCUGCCCCGGCCCUCCCGCGACCUCUGGAUUGAACUUUCCGCACACUUCUCGGCCCCUCGGCAGGUGGCCCAGCCUCGACCCGACCCCACUGCCCACUCACUGCUUCUCCUGCGCGUCCAGGUCCCUGACGAGCGCAUCGCGCUUGUUCACCAGGGCCACCAGCUCAUCUAGCAGAAGCUGUUCGCGUCGCUUCUGGGCCUCGGUCUUCUGCCAGUCUGCAGAAGACGGGAGGCUAGUUACCCACCGGCAGGGCCUCCGAACACCCGGCCCCCCGCCCUCCCCUUCCCGCCUUUUCCAGUUUCCUUAUAUUUCUCAGCAAACCACAUUAUAGAGCCACUAGCUAGUGUUUUCUGGGGAGUUUGGCUGUUGUGGUGAAGGCUUCCUCGCUAAAAGUCUACUUCCUAAACAGGUCCUGUGAAUGGAGAUGGCUGCAGCAGUGUUGGAACCUGCUUAGAACCAGGUGUGAACUGGUGGCUAGCCUGAGGUGCGCACCUGAAUCCAGCCAAAGUGGGGGAGGGGAGCUAGAGGCCCAGAAGAGGUUGGCCCAGGGGUUGGUAGUGGGGGAAGUGGGUAAAUGAGGAGGCGGGAAACAGUGAUGGGCGAUAAAAUCAUUCUGAAAAGGCUAGAGAAUCUGCCUGAGAACCUAUCCUCCUCCCCCACCCCCACUCUCACCCCAAACAGCCCAUUCUUCGCUAAUUUCCUCUUCGCUCUAUUUUAGCAGUUGGAUGUAUCUCACACUGGGCGCCAUAUGCUUCACAAUAACUUUAAAAGUAGUGAAUCGGCUAAUUAGCAUUUUUCUUUGAAGUAAAAAAUAAAUUUGCUCUGCAAUAUUACACUGCAGCUCUCGAUCGCAUCACAGCCAGUUUUCUUUUGGAGACGUUUGCUGGGUGGUUUCAAAUCAAAGCACUUUUGCAAAGGAAAAAUUACAUAUUUCUUUCUGAAACCCUAUGUUAAAGGUUGGAAAACCCGAUGGGCAGUGCUCUUUCCAUGGAUGGGGGGCGUUUUUUUUUUUUUUUUUUGAAGGUUUUAGACCCCAAUAAUAUAUUUCCUAAUCUUUGCUGGUCUGAUGAUUUCCUUAAGAUGAGCAGCAGUUUCAUUUAAUAGAAACAGGACCAAAUCGAACAUUUAAAACACUUUUGAAACCAAAGCCAACUGCUCUCUGGCCAGACUGUAAGGGCUUGUAGCUGUCAAUCAACCCCCAGUCUACCCCGCCUCCCUCAUUAGGAAGGUAAACAAUGAAAAGAAGAAGUAGAUGAUGAGGCAGAUAGCAGAACAAAUGAGGACCUAGAGGGAAACAGGACACCAGCUUAAAAAAAAAAAAAAAAAAAAAAAAAAAAAAAAAAAAAAAAAAAAAAAAAAAGAACCAUGGCCACUGACUCCUGCAGCCCCCUCCCCCAGCAAAUGCACUUUCCAAAAAACAGAGAGAAGUGCAAUCCUUUUGGGUUUCUCUCUUCUCUCUCCAUUGCCCUGGGCAAUCAUGUUAAAACUCACAUGGCUGGUGCUUAUUCAGAUAAACCUAACAAUGCACACCGCUGGUUACCAUGUGAAUCUUCACAAACCACACAAGAAUGUGCUGGUUCAAAUCCCCCCCGACCCCCUCCAAAGCAAAAUUUAUUCAAGACAGCAAACUGCUCAGCAGCUUUAUGAAAGCAAAUGGUGCUAGAGGGAAUUCUAUCUUGUAUUUACAAAUUAAAAAUUAGAUGCAUCAUCAUGCAAUAAAGGUUAGAAAAGCAGCAAAAAGCUAGACUGUUUUAUUCAAUUUAUCACUAUUUCUUUCAUUAUAAGCUCUAACACAUACAUACAUAUUUAUAUGAAACAUGCUAUAUGUUAAUUAUCCACAUUCGAUAUAAAACCACACAAAU